CCUACGGGUGGCUGCAGUGAGGAAUCUUGGUCAAUGGCCGUAAGGCUGAACCAGCCAAGUCGCGUGAAGGAAGAAGGAUCUAUGGUAUGUAAACUUCUUUUAUAGGGGAAUAAAGGUAUCCACGUGUGGCUAUUUGCAUGUACCCUAUGAAUAAGCAUCGGCUAACUCCGUGCCAGCAGCCGCGGUAAUACAGAGGCUGCGAGCGUUCUCCUGAUUUAUUGGGGUUAAAGGGUGCGUAGGUUGUUUUGUAAGUCAGAGGUGAAAGUUUGUGGCUCAACCAUAAAAUUGCCGUUGAAACUGGCAGACUUGAGUGUGUUUGAGGUAGGCGGAAUGCGUGGUGUAGCGGUGAAAUGCAUAGAUAUCACGCAGAACUCCGAUUGCGAAGGCAGCUUACUAAGCCAUAACUGACACUGAAGCACGAAAGCGUGGGGAUCAAACAGGAUUAGAUACCCCUGUAGUC
rnacentral:rRNA from 1 species